UAAGAAUGAUAAAACAGAAAAUCAUGAGAUUCAGAGGAAGAGUGUGGAAGGGAAGAAGAGGAAAUAAAGGAAGAGAAGGUUAUAUUCCACUUCUUCUGCUGUCUGGGAUGCUAAAAAAGGAAGACAGAUCCAGCCAGAAAAGCCAAAUUUCCAUAAGGAUGAUACAUCUCUGACAGAUGUCCCUGAUUUCCUGAAAGAUAGCUUUUUGAUUGGAGUUUUAUAAUAAUCUAAGUGGGAAACCCAGAUGGGGAACCUGAGGCAGAGAAAA